UGAAUGCGCUCAGGGCUCGGGACAACGACGAUUACAUUGGCAAGUGAGAAUAUUAAUUAAUUUUAGCUUAUUUUAAUUAAUUUUACAUAAACCUUGUCAUUUUUAGUUAGCAACCCGUUUCUUUCAAGAAGCUAAAAGAAGAAAGGUGGUUUAUCGCUCUUGUCCAGGCCCGCGCAAUUCUCCGCCUGGAGAUUGGACCUAUACAUACACAGGAAAAGAUGAAGCAAAAUGUCAGUCAAAUCACCGUCAGAGUGCCGUUAUAAACAUGAAUUAAAACCAAGAAGAACAAAGAGAGAAGCUGAUGGAGAUGUUUCCAUUUUUUCUGUGGAUAACUAUGUUCAUCUAUCCCAGAGAGCACUGUUAAAGUUUUAGCUCCACCUUAUCAGAGCUGAAAAGUGGAAGUCAGAGGAAACAUGACCAACCUGCUGCAAAACAAUAACACAAAAGGUCUGGACUCUGGAGUGCAGCAUUACUUGUUUGGUCAUCUACAUUCAGAUGAAAACACCACACUUCUCUCUAAUUCAAGAUGUCAAGCCUACUCAACACAUCAAAAUGGAUGUGUCACUGACCUAUAACACAGAGAUGCCAGAAGUAUCUGUUUGCCGUCUACUUUUUGUUCAGUAUGGAGCAUCCAAAAUCCAUCACUCAGUUAAUUUCAAUCAUUACUAUUUAGCCCUUCCCAGUGCUGAAAUUGUCCUGGGUCCUUUGUUUUUAUUGUUUAAAUGCUUAUCUGAAUGUAAAAUUAAUAUCUAAUGCUUAUAAAUAAAUAAAAAAACAAUACUAUGGUUAGUCUUUUAGCUCCCUUUUCAGAAACAUGUGGUUCACCAUUUUUCAUGGGUUACAGAACUGGGGAAAGUUGCAGCAUACAAAAAAAAGUCAGACUACUUGAUUUAUAGGAUUAUAGGAGAAUGUGGAGUAAAUACUUGACAUUUAUUUAAGGUAAAGGGUAAUGACCUGGUGGUGAGAUGCAAAAUAAGAUUGUCAUUAAUAUACUAUUUGAUGACAAACUUUUUAUAUUCUAAUUUUACUUAUGUAUUUAAUUUUUUUUAAUUAUUUGUGCAAGUUAACAUUCAAUUUUCUAGCAAUCAACAUAUUUGUGACUGACAUGUUGGAUGGGUGAGUAAGGUGGAGGGGGUUGAAAAAACAAUAUUUCUAAAAUGGAGAGUGCUAUUUUAGGUUGACAGGUAAAAAUAUAUAUUUUUUAAAAAGUAUAAAUAAAUAAAGAAACAUGGAUUUAUGUUAAUCCCUGUAACUGUUGCACUAUGAAUUGCUGUGUUAUAUAUUUCUUGUCAUUGUAAAUGCUAAUAAAAGUGUCUUAAAUGAUCACACAACUCAUUGAUGUCUUAUGCUUAUAGUUAUUUCAGUUUUUCUAGUGAUAAAGUAGCUAUAUGAGCUGUU